UCUUCUCUCUCUCCUUCCAAGUUUAGCUCCAUAUUUUCCAGUGCAAUUAGUUAGCUUGAAGUUAGUCUGAAGUUUGCUGCUAGUGCAGCAUUGUUGCUGAGACUUUGGGUUAUGGCUGCAGUUAGCUUGAAGUUAUCAUUUUUUUUUGCAUUUAUGUUUGCCAUUUAUGCAAUUUGCAUUUUAGUUUGAGUUUUUUAAAACUUUGCAUAUUAGUGGUUAAAAAUGAAGUUUUCUGCCAGUGCAUAUUAGUUUGGGUAAAUUUCUUUAUGAUAAGUAAGAGGAUAUUUUAUUGAUAUAGUUUGGGAAAAUUGAAAUGUAACCAUAAAACCCAUUUCAUGGAUAUCUGAUUUUUUUUUUUUUUUUUUUUUUUGUGUUUGGUGCCAUAUUGGUCUAUGACAUAAUGGUUUGGCCCUUCGAGAUUUUCUUGCCUCUAAUGUGCCUACCUAGGUGGGGCAGUACUAGAGUUGUAUUUCAGGUUUUGCCAUUCUUUGAUCAAUAAAAUUGUUUAUUUAUCAAAAAAAAAAAAAAUUGAGAGUCUAAACCAUACUGGAAGACACCAUUUUGGCAUGAUUAUGGGAAAUAUAGAAUUGGCAAGAACUGUUUAAUGGGAAGACUGUUGGAUAGAUCUCUAUCUUUGAGGGACAGGAGAGGGACUUGAAACCGGAAUUCUAAUCGAAAUCAAAGUAGAGGAGAGUGAAAACUGUGUCAAUUUUUAUACACUAGCUUUGGUGCGUUGUAUAUAAAUUAUUAUUUAAACAAAAUGAAAAAACAAAGGCAAAAUAAAGCAUCCAUCAUUAUAUUGCGUGUGCUCAUCAGGCUGCAGUAGUGGCAUCCUCGCAUGUAAAAUAAAAAAUAUUAAAAAAAAAUUAUUUUAAUAGUUUAGCCAAACUUAUAAUCCUAUGUGGGAUGCAUAGCAAAUAGAUUAUGUAAAAUAGCCAAGAUGCCAUAUUUAGCUAAAAUUUAGCUAGAAUUUUACACAAGCCAAUGCGAGUGCUCUUUGUCAACACUCACACUUUCUGUAAAAUGUCUAAAUUGGGUAUUGGGUCAUGGUAAAGUCUCAAUAUUUAGAUGAAUAUGUGAUGCUUUUGUAUAUAUCCCGUGACCCUGUAUUUGGGCACUUGCCCAUUCCUAUUAUCAAUACAAUUUUUUUUUACUGAAUAUAUAUAUAUAUAUAUAUAGACAUCAAUUCUGGGCACCAGCAAUCUUCGCUUGAUGCUUGGUCUAUUUUAAUAUCGCGAAAAUACACAAGUAAUAUUAACUUGAAAUUGGGUUGGUACCAAUUCUGCAUAGAUUUCUGUAUCGCAAAACAUUAUUCCAUAUAUUUGUACCAUCAACUCAAAAUCUGACAAAAAAGAUUUAUUUUUUUUACUUAAAGGCAAACUGAAUAUGGCUACCGGUGGCCCAAAGAGCAUUCUGGCUAAGGCUGUGACGAGUGGAGUGAAUGAAGCAAGAGCAAGCCACAUACUUAACCCAACAGGCUAGAGAUCACCCCACAAGCUGUUACACAAGAAGCUCAUUGGUGACAAGAUUGCUGAAUGGUACCCACAUGAUAUCAAGGACGAUACUCUUAUCAUGGCUCGUCGAGAACAAGAGCGUUUAUCCAAGCUAUGUUGUGAUUUGUACAACAAUACCUCUGAAGCCGAACCUGAUAACAUUGGUCAUUGGUGAAACUGAGCCCCCAAUAUCUGAUGAAAUCUUCAAGUCAAGCCACAAAUUGGGUUGUUACAAACCUGGUCUGUUUACAAAAAUGUCCCAAAUUGUGAACCUUGCUGUCCCUUACAAAGAUCUCCUGUUGAGGGCUUCUACUUAGCUGGUGACUACACGAAGUAAAAGUAUCUAGCUUCAAUGGAAGGUGCUGUUCUGUCAGGAAAGCUUUGUGCUCAAGCUAUUUUACAGAAUAAUAGCCGUGUGGCAAUCAUAAUGGGAAAGCAAAGGGAACUUGCAAGGUAUGGAUGCAAAGGAGCUUUUGUGGGGCUGAUAAGAUUCAAGCUGAAGCAGUCUGAUUUCGUGAUUCCACAAUAGAUCACAUCGAACUGAAUAUUUUCAAAGUUGUCCAUUGGUGUUAGUAUUUUAAUUUUUGGGAACACUUGUAAUAUGAAAAAUGAAAUAGUUGCAUUUUCUUGGAGUUCCCGAGUGAUGGUAUGUAACCAUUGAUGGGAAUAUUUGGUAAUAUUAACUUGUCAAAAAAAAAAAAUGGUAAUAUUUUUCUUGUAGUGUAACUAAGGCCUCGAUUGUUUUAGAUGAGAU